CCUAGUUGAGGACAGGCAUUUCCUAAGACCACCCUGGCCUACCAUGUCCCCAUCCUGGUCCUAUAAAAACCCGAGACCCUAGUGCGCAGACACACAGGCAGCCAGACGUCGAUGGGAGCACAUCGGCUGAAGCAGACACAAGCGGCCGGUCCUUGAGAGCCUGCUGGCAGAAGAGCAUGGCAGGCACAGGCGGGCCAACAGGCCAUCCACUGGCGGAAGAUGCGGAGGCUGGGGCAGUCAGAGGAGAACCUGGGGCUGCCGAGCAGCCCAACUCCAGGGGAAGACCAUCUCACUUCUGGCUUCCCCAUCCUGGGAGAACUACUGCCAUUCAGUAAAACUUUGCACUUAUCCUCCAAGCCCACGUGUGAUCCGAUUCUUCCGGUUCACCAAGAUUGCCCAGCCUCACAUAUUCCUUCAUAGCAACACAAAGGGACUGAGACAAUAUAUAAGUUAACAUCUGCCAUGUAGUGGAGGUUCCAGAGAAAAAGUGAGAGAAGCUGAGUCUGCACCCUCAACAUGGAGGAAAUAAGCUCUCUUAGGACCAAGAACAGAGGACAGAGGAAGGACUCCAGCAUGAUGGGCACCAAGGGAUUUUGGUCCUUCUGAGAAAGAGGAGUCUUUUUCAGAACUAUUUGAAAACAAGUUGCAGUCAUGAUGCCUCACUACUCCUAAAUGCUAUGCAGUUCCAACAAUGUGUCUUUGCCUUCUGGCCCCAGAAUAUCAUCUGGGAAUGCGUGUUGCAUCAAGUUGCGUCUCUCCAGUUGCCUCCAAUUUGGAAUACAGAGACAGGGUCUUCCUCUUUGCCUAAGCUGGAGCGCAUUGGUGUGAUCAUCGCUCACUGCUGCCUCAAACUCCUGGGCUCAUGCGACCCUCCCACCUCAGCCUCCUGACUAGUUGGGACUACAGAAUUGGUUCCUUCCAGUGAGUUCUUGGUCUCGCUGACUUCAAGAAUGAAGCCACAGACCUGUGCGAUGAGUGUUACAGCUCUUAAAGAUGGUGUGUCCAGAGUUUGUUCCUUCAGAUGUUCAGAUGUGUCCGGAGUUUCUUCCUUCUGGUGGGUUUGUCCUCUCGCUAACUUCCAAGAAUGAAGCCGUGGACGUUCACAGUGAGUAUUAGACCUCCUCAGGUUAGUGUGGACCCAAAGAGUGAGCGGCAGCAAGAUUUAUUAAGAGCAAAAGAACAAAGCUUCCACAACACGGAAAGGGACCCAAGCUGGUUGCCUCUGCUGGCUCGGGUGGCCAGGUUUUAUUCCCUUAUUUGGCCCCGCCCACAUUCCGCUGACUGGUCCAUUUUACACAGUGCUGAUUGGUCCAUUUUACAGAGUGCUGAUUGGUGCAUUUUUACAGAGUGCUGAUUGGUGUGUUUACAGUCCUUUGGCUAGACACAGAGUGCUGAUUGGUGUGUUUUUACAGAGUGCUGAUUGGUGCAUUUACAAUCCUUUAGCUAGACUCAGAGUGCUGAUUGGUGCGUUUUUACAGAGUGCUGAUUGGUGCGUUUACAAUCCUUUAGUUAGAUGCAGAGUGCUGAUUGGUGCGUUUACAAUCCUUUAGCUAGACACAGAGCACUGAUUGGUGCGUUUACAGUCCUUUAGCCAGACAGAAAAGUUCUCUAAGUCCCCACUCUACCCAGGAAGUCCAGCUGGCUUCACUUCUCAAUAUACGCAUUCCCUAUUUAAUUUUCCCAUUUUCUUGCGAUGCUUCUGUGUUUUGGCUUUGUGGAAAUCCAUUCUGCAUGCAAUACAGAACACAAAUUUGGCAAAAACAGUACUGGUGAUCAAAAAGCAGCACUGUUGCAUAAGUGUCUUCUUAUCCUACUAUGCACAUAAUUAUUUUCAAACUAGUCAGUAACUUAGCUGGCUUCCUCAGGCAAAUGCAGCUUUAAUUUAUUAAAAGCCCUGGAAUAUCAUCAGCUGGAAGGAAUGCCAACACAGGUAAAUGAGGCAUUUUUAAACUGACGUUUUCAUUCUUGCCGUGUUGUGCAGGCAAUCUACUCAUUUGAAUUUUUCUCCAAAUGCAUUGAGCUGAAUGGAAAAAAACAAACUUUAUUGGUAACACCCUGAAAUCCACUCUUGGAAAUCUUGAUUGCACCUAAUUCCAAAUCUGUCACUAUAGUUGGGGAUUCAACUGAAAUCCAUUUUCUUCUUUAUAAAGACAAUAACAAGGUCAAGAUCUAAGCAAACACACAAAUGUGAACAACAGGGAAAGAACCCAUUGACCUACCAAGACAGGCUGCCAACAGAAUUUUGAAGGCUUGCCAAGAUGCUUUUAUGGAGGUAGAGUGAAUGAGAUUCCGUAAGUGCAAAAUAAUCCUUUUAAGACUACCCAGAAAGUAAUAUAAGUGAACUAGUUAUAUAAGAUUCAGUGAGGACUACCAAAACAUUGGGAAGAAAUGUGGAUUUUAUCAUUCAAGGAAAUAUAAUUUUAUUGUAAGAUAUAAUCUUUGUUUUUGUAGUCAAAUAGAAACAUUCAUGCCUUAAUACAACGUUUGGUAAAAAGAACUGAAGAAGACACCAUAGAAGAUUUUAACAAACAAUGAACUCAUUAGCUAAAAGAUUUGUCAUGAAAUAAUGAUUGAUUUAGUUGUUUUCUAAAAUAUUUCUAGUGCCUAUUAGAUGUUGAAGGAGACUUUGAUCAUGAAGUGUGUUCUCUGAGGAGCUGCUAUUUUUAUUUUUAUAUUUGUUUGAAGUGAAUUGUCCUGCUAAUUCUUUAACAUAAAAUAUCUUCAAUUACAUGAUUCAACAUUUUAAAAAGUGAUUAAGACAGAAGAAUAUGUGCUGGGAUUUAUUUUUGGAUCUUUGAAGUAGCAAAGAGUAGCAGAACUCCUUAAUCCAUAGAGUGGUUAUUUUGCUGUAUGAUGACUCUUGUAUUUACUCCCUGAAUUACCCUUUCCACUAAAAAGUAUUAAUGAGACAUUAGUAGGCUAUAGAAAAAAAUACUUCUGAUCUACUUAGAAAUAUUCAUGAGGUUUUCUCCUGGUGGAUUCACAUCAAAUUUUAUUUUUUAAAACCCCAAGUAUUUUUAUUUGAUGAUUAAUAAGUAAGAUGGAGGCUGGUAGGUGGAAAUCGCCAGCAGGAAAAUAAAAUGCUUUGGCUAAGCCGACAACUGCUACUGUCCUCCUCUGUACAGACUCUCCUGCUGAAGACUCACGGAGGCUUAUUUCAAGUCUUCUUUAGUUCAUUACCUGCAUGUUCAAAUGGAGCUGGUACUGUGACUCACAGCUUUCUGUCCAAGAAUGCGAUUUGUACCUCUACAAAUCUUCUACACCUUCUUCAUCUAGUAAACACUUACUCUACAGGUCUCAUCUCAAAUCUAUUACUAUAUGCAACUAUAGUACAUAAGCAAGCCAUUUAAAAAUGUUAAAGGAAGAUAUGCAUUGAUAUGGGUUGGCUGUUUUCCCACCCAAAUCUCAUCUUGAAUCGUAGCUCCCAUAAUCCACACGUGUCAUGGGAGGGACCCAAUGGAAGGUAAUUAAAUAAUCGGGGUGGGUUUUUCCCAUGCUGCUCUCAUGAUAGUAAAUAAGUCUCAUGAAAUCUGAUGGUUUCAUAAUAUAAAGGGCAGUUCCCCUGCACAUGCUCUCUUGCCUGCCACCAUGUAAGAUGGGCCUUUGCUCCUCCUUUGCCUUCUGCCAUGAUUGUGAGGCCUCUCCAGCCAUGUGGAACUGUAAGUCCAUUAAAUCUCUUUUUCUUUAUAAAUUACCCAGUCUUGGAUAUCUCUUCAUAGGAGUGUGAAAAUGGACUAAUAGAUACAUAUAGGUACACAUACAUGUAUACAUAAAGCCAUUCCAAAAGACUUUGCUUCCUGAAGUUUGUAAAUGUAAACAAAUUUAUUGUACCAUCAUUUAGGUUACUACGUUGCUCACUAACAUAGAAACAAUAUCUAAAAUGGGUACUUAUAGGGUUAUUAAAAUAUAGUAUGAAUAUGGCUACUGGAAAAAAGUCAAAGAUAUAUUUUGAGGCCACUACUCUACGUCUCUUGAUGUUCUCUUGUACACAUUUGAUAUUGCACAAAAGCCAAAAGUUUGGACUCCUUUGAUUAAAGGCAAGGUCAAGUAAUCCUGCUGGUUCUACCUCUCCUCCCAUUUCUUAAAUGAAAGGAUGUAGUCAUAUAAGGUGCUGUUUAGUAAAAUGGUGCCGUGAAUUCAGCAUGAAAUGUCUGGGCAAGUGUUUUUCAAGUUGUCACAUAUAUACUAUAUUUAUCUUCCUCCUUUUCCCUCCUCAACCUCAGUCCCCAUCACCCAGUGUUUCAUAAGGUUUUACUUUCUGUAGCUUAUACUGUAAAACCAGGAGUUCCCUUCCUCCUCUCCCAAAUAUAACCUUUUCUAAUAAUAUUAAUUGCACUUUCCCUAACUAUACAUACCUCCCUGGAGAUUUUGAACUGUAAUUCUUUCUCUCCUCCAUUUUCCUUGAGCAUUUUUCAUCUAGUGGAAUAUUCGGUGGCAAAGCUCUCAUUCUGGAAGAAGUUUAGCCAUGUAAGCAUAGAAGAAAUAAGCCAACAAUGGUAAACAUAGUUAAUGCAUGUAGUUAAGUCUUCUAAACAUGUCACUUGAAUGAUGUCACAUUUUGCUUUUUCAAACUAGGAAUCAACAAAAUGGAGGAACAUUUGAGGUUUGUUAAGAAAUUUCCCUUCUUAGCCAUAGAACUAAGAUAUUUUUAAAUAAAGAAGAUCAUAGUGGGCCAUAAAUGAUGUGCCUUUCUAGGAUCCCAAAAUGUUUUAUUGAUUGAAUUAUAUAGAGAGAUUUAAUGGAACCGUGGUUGAAAAAUGCUUUUAAAGUCUUUGAUCACUGGGAUAUCAAUGGAACAAAUGGGUUAAAACAUUUUCAGAAUUUAAUCAUUUAUCUAGGUAACAGGGUUGGGGGUAAAUGGCGGGAGAGAAGGGGAGGGCCGGGGCAUUAAUGAAUAGUACUCCAUGUAAAAAGAAGAAUUGACUAGUAACAUCUGUACUAUUUAAAUUAACAGGCUGGCAUAUAUUGUUGUGCAGGUUUUGCAUUGCCCAAUUCUUGGGGGGGGCGGCAUUCACAUUUGUAGUCAUUAUGGGUUCCUCUAUUUAUAAUGCCAAUUUUCUAGCAGAUGUUGGUUUAUUGCCUUGAGAAACUGUUAGAUUCCUCUAAUUUUUGCAAAGAUGGCUUUGGGAAGUUGAAAGAUUACCUGAUUACUAUUAGAGAAUCCUGCUACCAAUACAUACUUGUCUUGUAUAAUUUGGGCAAAAUAUAAUAUUCCUGAAUCUUAGAUUCCUUGUUUGUAAAAUGUUUAAAAUAUAUCUAAAUGUAAGAAUUGUUGUAGCAUAUAUAUGUGAGUACAUGAAUGUGGCCGUCACAGCAGCUGUAAGUGGAAGAUAUUAUAAAUAUUGUUAAAACCUUCUGAUGUUUUAUUUUAAGCUGAUAGUUUUUCUUUAUGCUGACUUUACAGUGAGUUUUAAACAUACACUUGAGUUUAUCAUUUGUAUAUAACUACUGAUAGAAAUCUGAUGAAAAACACUAAUAGUAGUUUAUAAAAGAUUUUUUUCAAUAUGAACUUUUUGUUUCCAUUGUGAGAAAUUAAAUUUCAAAAUGUAAUUAUUAAAUGUAUGCCUGACUUUCAAAUGUUUUUCUAUAUCCAGCUAAUUAAAAAUAUUUAUAACGUAGUAGUAGUUAAAUGUCAUGUUCGCCUUAUUAGAAAGAAUGCCUUCAAAUCAGUAUUAUCAUGAUUACCAUUUAUUUAACAUCUUCAGUAUGCAGGGCAUUUAUAAAAUCUGUAGAAAUUAAUUUUCUCUAAAUGCAACAAGCUUUAUGACCAGCACUCACUGUCUAUAAAAGAUGACUUGCUUGGCAGAAGAGGAAACAGUUUCUUCAGACCUUCCAGCCACAGUCAGCCCUGGUGACAUUGCAUAUCAGCUUCUAAAGGGCCUCGCACAUUCCUUGGCUUGUGAUGUCCCUUCCCCAUCAUCAAAGACAGCAACGAGACUGGUGAUAAUACUUUAUUAGGGAGCAGUGGGAUUCAAAUGAAAUACUGCAUGUGAAAAAUUACUUUGCAAACUUAGCAGUGUAACACAAACACUCAUCAUCAUAACUAGAAGUCUGGCCUCCUGACAAAUACCUGUUGACAAUUACAUUAUACAGAAGCCUGUGGUUCCUGA
rnacentral:lncRNA from 10 species